rnacentral:pre_miRNA from 13 species
CUACUGAGACCAUGUGACCUGUGGGCUUCCCUUUGUCAUCCUAUGCCUGGAGAUCACAGUGAGGCAGGGACAGCAAAGGGAUGCUCAGCUGUCUCUUCCAUC